rnacentral:rRNA from 1 species
AUAUCAAUAAGCGGAGGAAAAGAAACUAACAAGGAUUCCCUUAGUAACUGCGAGUGAAGAGGGAAAAGCUCAAAUUUAAAAUCUGGCAGUGUUUCACUGUCCGAGUUGUAACCUAGAGAAGUGUAACCUGUGCUGGACCAUGUAUAAGUCUCCUGGAAUGGAGCAUCACAGAGGGUGAGAAUCCCGUCUUUGACAUGGACUACCAGUGCAUUGUGGUUGCGCUCUCAACGAGUCGAGUUGUUUGGGAAUGCAGCUCUAAAUGGGUGGUAAAUUCCAUCUAAAGCUAAAUAUUGGCGAGAGACCGAUAGCGAACAAGUACCGUGAGGGAAAGAUGAAAAGAACUUUGGAAAGAGAGUUAAACAGUAUGUGAAAUUGUUGAAAGGGAAACGUUUGAAGUCAGUCGCGUUGGUUGGGGAUCAGCCUGACACUGUUGGGUGUACUUCCUGGUUGACGGGCCAACAUCAGUUUUGACUGCCAGAAAAAGGCCAAAGGAAUGUGGCACCUUUGGGUGUGUUAUAGCCCUUGGUUGUAUAUGGUGGUUGGGACUGAGGAAAGCAGCGUGCCGAAAGGCCGGGUUUCUACCACGUUCACGCUGAGGAUGUUGGCAUAAUGGCUUUAAGCGA